GGGCCAUUAGCUCAAUUGGCGGAGCAGCUCCCUCUUAAGGAGAAGGUCGGAGGUUCGACUCCUCCAUGGCCCA
rnacentral:tRNA from 1 species